rnacentral:tRNA from 1 species
CGUCCGGCUGCGGCGCCGGGACCCGGCGGACCGGUGUCCGUCGCCGGCGGAUCGCUGGAGUACUUCAGCGCCGGGCGGAUCGAGCUCCGCUUCGCACGG